GGAGUUAGGAAAUGCGGUUCGGUGAUAACCCGGGCCGUUUGACAAAAGCCCCAGAGGAAGCACUGGCUAACUACGUGCCAGCAGCCGCGGUAAUACGUAGAGUGCAAACGUUGUUCGGAAUCACUGGGCAUAAAGCGCCUGCAGGUGGUGCGGAAAGUCGGUUGUGAAAGCCCCUGGCUCAACCAGGGAAUUGCGGCCGAAACUGCCGCGCUAGAGUGUGAGAGGGG
rnacentral:rRNA from 1 species